GAUGAACGCUAGCGGCAGGCCUAAUACAUGCAAGUCGAACGGGAUCCAGAUCAAAGCUUGCUUUGGUCUGGUGAGAGUGGCGCACGGGUGCGUAACGCGUGCGCAACCUACCCUUGUCAGGGGGAUAGCCCGGCGAAAGUCGGAUUAAUACCGCAUGACAUCAUUUGGAGGCAUCUUUCGAUGAUCAAAGAUUUAUCGGACAAGGAGGGGCUCGCGUGACAUUAGCUAGUUGGUAAGGUAACGGCUUACCAAGGCUGCGAUGUCUAGGGGCUCUGAGAGGAGAAUCCCCCAUAUUGGUACUGGGACACGGACCAGACUACUACGGGAGGCAGCAGUAAGGAAUAGUGGUCAAUGGUCGGAAGUCUUACCCAGCCAUGCCGCGUGCAGGAAGACGGCCCUAUGGGUUGUAAACUGCUUUUAUACGGGAACAAACGUCGGUACGUGUACCGGUCUGAGUGUACCGUAAGAAUAAGGAUCGGCUAACUCCGUG
rnacentral:rRNA from 1 species